GUAAGACCUGCUCAUGUUGGCAGGAUUAGCAGCCGAGAUGCAGCACAUCUUAACUAAAAAUAACAUCAAGAGGAGCAUGACAUGAUCCCAUGCAAAGAGCUGCGAGCGUUUGUUUUUGUGCAGAGCAGGGCAACGCAGACUGAACUACAGCAGCCGACUAAAACCAGCCUUUGUUUUUCAUUGGUUGGCUUCAGUUGCACAUGUUCCUCAUUAAGAGCAAAAGCAGACAGGAUGAGGAGGGAGGAAUGGAUCAUAUGUCUGUGCCUUCCUGUGUCACUAUAAAAAGCAUUCUCUUUUAAAAAAGGAACCUCUUCAUAUGUGUAAAUCUUGGGGGAAAAGUGCUAUUCGCUCUCAUGGGAAGCGUGUAGUACACAAGUAGGUGGGAGGAACAUGGGCUCAAGCCAUGCAGUGGAUAUUUAUGGAGCCACUGUGUGUGUGUGUGUGUGUGUGUGGUGUUUGUGUGUGUUUGUGUGUGUGUGUGUGUGUGUGUGUGUUUGCGUAUACAGUAUCACUUCUGAGGGAGUGAAGGAUAACUUUGCAGGAGGAUCUUCUGUGUUUUUGUGUCGCUGAGGUAGAAUGAGAGAUCAAGAAGCUGAGGCUGACUGAGGUUUUUACAUGAGGUCUUUGAGUCAAGGCAUACUGGUAAUGUCAAAUACAGAUCAGAAUCGCACAACAAACACAGCACCACAAUUAUUACUGAGUAGAUAUCAUGUUCCUGAAUAGAUAUGUACCUGAGGUUUUCAUAAAUGACGUAAGAGAAGAGCACUGUUAAAAAAGUGAAAUCCUGAGAGUGGUAAAAAAAAAAAAUGACACGUCAACACUGCGGUCGACUCAAGUAUUUAUGAAGGUUUUGUUUUAGUUUUUUCUUUUUUUGUUCCAAAAUGAAAUAUCCAUUUCAACCUUUGGAUUUGAAUCAGUCACUUUCUGCUUGGAAGGAUUUACUCAGCUGAGGUUAAGAAGUAAUCUCUGAAAAUGGAUAUUUCAAUUUGAAA